UGAUGGGAGCUAACAUGCAAGUCGAGCGGGGAAGGUAGCUUGCUACCUGACCUAGCGGCGGACGGGUGAGUAAUGCUUAGGAAUCUGCCUAUUAGUGGGGGACAACAUUCCGAAAGGAAUGCUAAUACCGCAUACGCCCUACGGGGGAAAGCAGGGGAUCUUCGGACCUUGCGCUAAUAGAUGAGCCUAAGUCGGAUUAGCUAGUUGGGGGGGUAAAGGCCUACCAAGGCGACGAUCUGUAGCGGGUCUGAAAGGAUGAUCCCCCCCCUGGGACUGAAACCCGGCCCAAACUCCUACGGGAGGCAGACGUGGGGAAUUUGGACAAUGGGGGGAACCUUGUCCCACCUUGCCCCGUGUGGAAAAAAGCCUUUUUGUUGUAAAGCCUUUUUACCCAGGAGGGAGGCCCCUUUUUUUUAUCCCCUCAAGAGGGGGGACGUUUUCUUCCCAAAAAAAACCCCCGGUUAAUUUCUUUUGCCCGCACCCCCCCUGUAUUACAAAGGGGGGGGAGCGUUAAACCCUUUUUUUCUGGGGCAUAAAAGUCUUCCGCCAGGCGCCCUUUUUUUUAUCUUCACAUGGUAAAACCCUCUGCCCCUCUACUUUAAAAAAUUUGCCUUUUCCUACCACUCGAAAUACUCUUAACUCUUUUUGUGAUAAGAAAAGGUUGAAAUAUCUCCCUGGUGUUACUCGCGCGAAAAUUGCGUUUAACACAUCUUCGAAGAAAAACCCCUAAUGCGUAUAUGGUGCUCCCCUCGCCCUUUAUUAUCUUAACCCUUGAGGUACUAAACAAACUGGCGGGGGACAAAACGAUAUUAUAUCCUCUGUGUGUUCCC
rnacentral:rRNA from 1 species